CCGUGUCCCUAACACAGGAAAGCCAGACCGUAUCGGUCAUGUCGAACGUGUACACGGCGCAGGGUGCGGAAGCGACGGGCGACGAGCAGUCGAAGAUGAUCGCUGUGACGAUGAACGCAGGUGGCAUGCUUGCGAGCGAAUCUGCUACCCUUACGUUCCUCCUCGCUAUGGCUCAGCACCGGGACAUCCAGGAGCGGGCACAGGCUGAGGUGGACUCUGUCUGCGGCAACAAGCUCCCAACGAUGGCUGAUCGCCCGAAUCUGCCAUACGUCGACGCCAUCCUCUCCGAGGUUCUGCGAUGGG
rnacentral:misc_RNA from 1 species